rnacentral:misc_RNA from 1 species
GAUGAAGAACGCAGCGAAAUGCGAUAAGUAGUGUGAAUUGCAGAAUUCCGUGAAUCAUCGAAUCUUUGAACGCACAUUGCGCCUUCUGGUAUUCCGGAAGGCAUGCCUGUUCGAGAGUCAUUAACAACCGUUUCGAUCCCUUUCUUUCAGAAAUUACAAAGAGGAAAAGGGUUUGGUUAUGGUGGAGGAGGGAAAGGGAGCGUUUAGCCUGUAAAAAAAGAGGCUGUGUUCCGCCUCCCCCCCAAAAUUGUACAGGCGGUCGUGUGCGCCCACGCAUCGAGGUGUUGUAAAAGCUGCCACGGCACUUUUCACCUGUGCAGUGCGAGAUUGGCCAGCCGGUUUAAAAACCCCUCCAAACAAUCAAAGGUUGACCUCGGAUCAGGUAGGAAUACCCGCUGAACUUAAGCAUAUCAAUAAGCGGAGGA